GCCACUGAGGGCAAUCUGGCUGAGACAUCUGUCUUCCCAUUGAUCGCCAGGAUUGAUUUCUCUGAUCUGGCUGUCUAGGCUAGGCAGGUGUCCCCUUACUCCCUCACUACUCCAUGUGCUUCCUUCCCAAAGCUGGGCAAUUGUUUGAAGAGGAGGACCUUCUUCCCUGAAUAGAAGGAGACUGAUCUUUGGUCAAGAGUAUAUGAAUAGCUGCUCUCCCCUGCUGGAACCUCUAAACAAGCUGAAUAAAGUUUUUAAAUUCUGAAUUGUCUUCAUCAUUUU
rnacentral:snRNA from 1 species